rnacentral:rRNA from 1 species
CCUACGGGUGGCAGCAGUGAGGAAUAUUGGUCAAUGGGCGAGAGCCUGAACCAGCCAAGUCGCGUGAGGGAGUACUGCCCUAUGGGUUGUAAACCUCUUUUGUCGGGGAGCAAAAGCCGGACGUGUCCGGCUGUGAGAGUACCCGAAGAAAAAGCAUCGGCUAACUCCGUGCCCGCAGCCGCGGUAAUAAGGAGGAUUCGAGCGUUAUCCGGAUUUAGUGGGUUUAACGGGUGCGCAGGCGGAUUUUUAAGUCAGCGGUCAAAUCGUGGGGCUCAACCCCAUCCAGCCGUUGAAACUGGGGAUCUAGAGUGUGCGAGAGGUAUGCGGAAGGCGUGGUGUAGCGGUGAAAUGCAUAGAUAUCACGCAGAACCCCGAUUGCGAAGGCAGCAUACCGGUGCACAACUGACGCUGAGGCACGAAAGCGUGGGUAUCGAACAGGAUUAGAUACCCUAGUAGUC